rnacentral:rRNA from 1 species
UCGGGUUGUAAAGCACUUUUGUCCGGAAAGAAAACUUCGGCCCUAAUACGGCGGGAGGAUGACGGUACCGGAAGAAUAAGCACCGGCUAACUACGUGCCAGCAGCGCGGUAAUCGUAGGGUGCGAGCGUUAAUCGGAAUUACUGGGCGUAAAGCGUGCGCAGGCGGUUCGUUAAGACAGAUGUGAAAUCCCCGGGCUUAACCUGGGAACUGCAUUUGUGACUGGCGAGCUAGAGUAUGGCAGAGGGGGGUAGAAUUCCACGUGUAGCAGUGAAAUGCGUAGAGAUGUGGAGGAAUACCGAUGGCGAAGGCAGCCCCCUGGGCCAAUACUGACGCUCAUGCACGAAAGCGUGGGGAGCAAACAGGAUUAGAUACCCUGGUAGUCCACGCCCUAAACGAUGUCAACUAGUUGUUGGGUCUUCAUUGACUUAGUAACGUAGCUAACGCGUGAAGUUGACCGCCUGGGGAGUACGGUCGCAAGAUUAAAACUCAAAGGAAUUGACGGGGACCCGCACAAGCGGUGGAUGAUGUGGAUUAAUUCGAUGCAACGCGAAAAACCUUACCUACCCUUGACAUGGUCGGAACCCUGCUG